AGAGUUUGAUCCUGGCUCAGGAUGAACGCUGGCGGCGUGCUUAACACAUGCAAGUCGAACGGUGAACACGGAGCUUGCUCUGUGGGAUCAGUGGCGAACGGGUGAGUAACACGUGAGCAACCUGCCCCUGACUCUGGGAUAAGCGCUGGAAACGGCGUCUAAUACUGGAUAUGUGACGUGAUCGCAUGGUCUGCGUCUGGAAAGAAUUUCGGUUGGGGGUGGGCUCGCGGCCUAUCAGCUUGUUGGUGAGGUAAUGGCUCACCAAGGCGUCGACGGGUAGCCGGCCUGAGAGGGUGACCGGCCACACUGGGACUGAGACACGGCCCAGACUCCUACGGGAGGCAGCAGUGGGGAAUAUUGCACAAUGGGCGCAAGCCUGAUGCAGCAACGCCGCGUGAGGGACGACGGCCUUCGGGUUGUAAACCUCUUUUAGCAGGGAAGAAGCGAAAGUGACGGUACCUGCAGAAAAAGCGCCGGCUAACUACGUGCCAGCAGCCGCGGUAAUACGUAGGGCGCAAGCGUUAUCCGGAAUUAUUGGGCGUAAAGAGCUCGUAGGCGGUUUGUCGCGUCUGCUGUGAAAUCCGGAGGCUCAACCUCCGGCCUGCAGUGGGUACGGGCAGACUAGAGUGCGGUAGGGGAGAUUGGAAUUCCUGGUGUAGCGGUGGAAUGCGCAGAUAUCAGGAGGAACACCGAUGGCGAAGGCAGAUCUCUGGGCCGUAACUGACGCUGAGGAGCGAAAGGGUGGGGAGCAAACAGGCUUAGAUACCCUGGUAGUCC
rnacentral:rRNA from 1 species